rnacentral:rRNA from 1 species
UACGUAGGGUGCGAGCGUUAAUCGGAAUUACUGGGCGUAAAGCGUGCGCAGGCGGUUUUGUAAGCCAGAUGUGAAAUCCCCGGGCUUAACCUGGGAACUGCGUUUGAAACUACAAGGCUAGAGUGUGGCAGAGGGGGGUGGAAUUCCACGUGUAGCAGUGAAAUGCGUAGAGAUGUGGAGGAACACCGAUGGCGAAGGCAGCCCCUGGGUUAACACUGACGCUCAGGCACGAAAGCGUGGGGAGCAAACAGG